UGAUGUUGGGGUUUGUGAGAAGGGGAAUCCGUCCCCUUUUUUUCCUGCAUUGUUUUUAUUAAGAGAGGCCCUAGGACAACAAUUUCAGUUGAAAUUUCACCCAUUGACUAACUUUUGCAUGAUCUAUUUACUAGAUAUAUCAGAUUUGAGAAGAAAAAUCAAUUUUGACGUAUUUGAGAGAUUGAAGAUUUCGACAAAAAUUUUACUUGAUUUUGAAAAGUUGCGAUUUGUUCGCAAUAGUUAGUUGAUCUUUGAUUAAAUUUGUUCCCUAAGUCUAGCUUUUGGUUCUUCAUUUAACCUUCUCACAAAAAAUAAGGAUUUGCAAGAUUCAAAUUCGAGUUUACUAUUCAUUCAAAUUUUCAAGAGGCCGGAUCAUCUAGAACCGAACAUGAAACUCAAAUUUUGGUUUGGCGGCUUGUCCAAGGAAACUUUGACAAAGAUUGGAGGCAUCAAAUGACACUAAGCAUGAAGAUUGGGGGAUUGUUCUCAAUAUCUGGUAAAUUUCAUUUUUCCAAAUUAAAAUUCAUAUAUUUAUUUUACAAAAGUAGUUAUAGCUGAUUUAUAGCAAACAAUGGAUAUACUUCUUUUUUCUUUAUGAUUUUUAAUGCAUCUUUUUUUUUUUCCUCAUUUUCUGAUGAAAUGGUUUUUAAUUGAUUUUCCAUUUUUCGUUUUUAAUCGACAAGGGUAUGUGUGUCGGUGUCUAACCUGGGUACAAGGUUCCUCAUGCCAUGAAGAAGAGGAUUUGAUGACAUGACCAUUUUAUGAAGAGAACAGCCCAACAAUGUUUUAGUAGUAUUGCAUUUCGUGAUGAGAACGAGAUAAUCAAUUAUUCCUUGAUUGGCUGCAUUUGUAGAUAAUUUGGACGUUUCACUGACAUUUUCAAAUUCGUGUGUCUACUCGUAAGAAAAAUGAAGAUCAAAGCUCUAAAUGUAAUCAAUAGUUAAUAAGCAAGAAGAAUAAUCCAAAAGAAUAUGUGCUGGUAUGUCAGUACAUGUGUUGAGGCAUGUCAGACACUGUUCAGGCACCUAAACAAAAGAAUCCAUAUAACAUAGCAUGAGGAUGAGAGUGAGACCUAGAAAGAUUCAUACUUGAUAGAGGUCCUGUACAGAGAUUUGAAAAAGAGUAUGACCUUUAGCAGAACCCAUGAACCCAUGAAGACUGCUACUUAACUAUGAAGCUUGAAGCGUUCAUGCUCGUGGACUACAGUCACAAUUCAGUGUGGAUAAGCAUAGGUGGAGUGCUGUUAUUGGUGCUCUCCUUUCUUUGUGAUUGGAAAUUUGUUGGGGCCAAGGUCUUGCUCGAUCUUGGGUUCGUGAAAGUUAUCCAAAAGCUAAAGUUGGCCACAUUAUUCAUGUGUUGUAAAGAUUAUCAAGAUCCACUGCCUAAGGUGUGCUACAUGACAAACAAAAUUGCUGGCAAAUGGCUAGUAUGAAGUUGAAGAUGUCAAUGUUUUGGAAGAUGGAAUGUCCAGAUGUGAGAAAGAGUCGAACACCAUUUAGAUUGGUAGGCAAUGCAUGUACAUAAUUCAAGUUUAAGGAAGGAUGUUGGAAAUUGAACUUGAUUUCUAUGGAAUAUUUGAUUUGAAUUGGGAACUUAUCCUGUGAGGUGAGAUCUGCUGUUAUUUGUUGGUAACUUUGGAUUUCAUAGUUAGAUUAGGAUGCGUUUGUAUGUGAUAUUUUACCACAUAUUCCACCCCUUCUCUCCACAUCAACAAAAUUGUGCCAAAAACUACCCCCAAAUCUUUCAUAUUGUAGAAAACAUUUUUACUGCCUCCUUCUUGUAGAGGGGAAAGGUUGC
rnacentral:lncRNA from 1 species